CAAACACAAAGAUAUUGUACGCGAUUGAGAUGUAGAGUUAUAGCGUGAUGAGAUAUAUUUUGACGCCAUCCUAGAGUGCUGUAACUGAAAGCUUGUUCCUCUAACAUACUAUACAGAUGCGCGUUAGCUGCCAAUCUAUCGUCGGGGAGAAGACUUUAUCGGCGAGCUUUGGCUGCUGCUGCAUAUACUUCCACGUCUAGAACUUUCCAACGAGGAGGAAGAUUGUGCUCUU